AACAGGAAGGAUAGCACAGGACCUUAUCACACAAAUUCGGAGCUUGAGAGAGCCUCAUUGCUGUUGUUUGGAUUCCUCAGCCUUAAGAAAGUUUGUUUGAUCAACAAAUGACUGUGCUGGGACAGACCCACAGCCCAUACUUCCCCUUACCAAGGAAAAGAAAAUUGUUCUGCCCUUGCCACUUUUCUGAGCAGGAAUUAUGACAAAGCCCUUAAGUGUCACUAAUGGUAGAAACUGCCAUGGCCAUGCUGAUAUUCAAAAGUCAGGAGCAGAUGGACCUGGACUACACCCUGCCAGUGAGGGAGAAAAGGACCACUAUUAACAAAAUAAGGAGAACCUAAGUUCGUAGUGAAGCCAUCAUGGAGAUGCUCACUCUUUAAUAUGUAUACGUGCAACCAGUAUCUUUUCCAAACACUCUAAAAAAAAAAAAAGGAUUUAUUAUUUGUAGAGUGAGAUUAAUUCAGCAGAGUGUCUGAGUGUCACCCAAAGAAGCUGGUUAAAGUGUUUUAAGACUAACCUUUUGCUUUUCAUGGCAUUGGCAUAUGUGCUUAUCGGGGAAGUUUUAUGUUUGAGGUUCAGGGAGAAGGUGAUGGCCAUCUCCUCUGAAUGCUUACAGAUGACUGAUUUUCAGAACAGUGCUGGCAUCCUUCCAGCUGGAGGCCUGGCCAUUAGAUAAGCUUAACAUUAUGGUGGCCAUUUGCUAAACAGAUGAGAGCAGAAAUAGCAGGAGGAAAUGAGAAACCUAAGAAACCUGCUGGAACUCCCUGCAAAUAAAGACCCAACCUUGGAAGGAAAAGUCCUACAUCCUUCCACUGAAAAAAAAAACUGGUGAGCAUAAGUUUUCAGCUGCUAAAACUAUAACUGCUAUCCCAAGGGACAUAAAAGCACCAGCCAAAGAAAAGACCACCACAAGUGCCAGCCUCAAGAAAUCUAGGAAAUAUUACACUCACUUCUUCCGUAAGAAUCUGCACAAAAGUUUUCAGGUAUUACCAGAUAGGAUCCAUUUGCUUCUUCUUUCAGGUUGUUUUUUUGAUUAUGAGGCCCAUGGCCAUCCUGGCUAAGUAUCCUGUCUAAUAGUCCCUCCUUUGCUGGUAUUUAAAUAGUGUCACAUGGCACUGGAGCAUUACACUGCCAGAAGAUUUGACAGAUAUCAUUUGGCAGAUCCUGUGGUGGCCAUUCACAUCACCCUUCCAGCUGCCUUUUCCCUCUCUCUGCCAGAAAUUACUGUUUCUAGAAGUGUCUUGUCAAAAAGGGGCCCUACCUGUAGUUCAGCAAUUCUGAUUCAGUCAGAUGUCAUAACUCAAACUUGCAAGCAGAUAUAGCUGAGGGCCAUUCAUUUUUCUUCUUCUUUUAAUAGCUGAAGCCUCCUUUGGACUGGCAUUUGGAAAUGUUGUGAGCAGCAAUCCUUGGUUACCAUGUUUUCACUAUCAGGUUUUCACAUGGCAAUGGAACUGAUGUGGUGGAAACAGAAAUGGGGCUCUCUCCACUGAUAAUUUCCUGGCAGACAGAAAAUAUUAAGUAAUCUUUCUUUUUUUUUUCUUUUUUCUUUUUUUAAUCAAAUAGUCUCACCUGAUUAAAUAUUUUAACUUUUAAUUUUAUUAUCACAGUCUAUUGCUCAAGCUGUGUUGUCGGACUGUGCAGCAAUAAUAGCACAUGAAGAUUUUUCAAACUGGCAUUGUAUUUGGUUCCUUUUACAUUUCCACACAUAAUCUGCGUAACAUUAUUAAAUCUUUCCUGUACAUUAUUUAACCUCUGGGAUCAAAUGAAAUCAUACAUAACUGGAACUCUUUGGGCUUUGACAGAUGUCCUCUGGCAGAUUUUUUGCAGUGGUUUAAGUUGUUACUUCUCUAGCUAUUUUCUUGGCCUUUUCCUGGAAUGGGACAUGUCUCAGCUGCUCUGGUGGAAAACACUAACCUCUUAGCCUUUAAAGAUAAUAAAAGCAGGUUUAAGUUAUUGCACCGUACAUUGACCAGAAAUGGCUGAAGCAAAGGUAUGGUCCUUUUCACCCGCUCACCUACAGGAAGAGUAAUCCUUCACAGACAGCUGUCAAAGAGGUUGCAGUGAUGACAUGGAGGGCUUUCUUGCAAGCUCUUGGGGGAAUAUUUACAGCAUCUUGCCUUGUUUUCCAUGGGAAAGCACAGGAAGCUGAGUACUUCUCUUAAAACAGUGAGAUUGUGAUAAAAAUACUUAACAUUUUCUAACUUUUUUUUGUAAGCGUAUAGACUCUCCUGAAAUCAAUCUGCUUUGUGGGCUGUCUCCUACUGUGUGUCAUGGAGUCAUGCUAAGCAAUAUGGUGCCUAAGCAGUGCAGAGUUAGUUUCCUUUCAUCUGUACACCUGCAGAGGGGUUUUUAUGUGUGGGAGAACUUUCUCUGCCUUGUGUAUUUUGUAAAUAACCUCUUUGCUAAAGAAAAUGCUGAACUUACAUUCUGUACCCCAGUUUAUAUAGAUUUGAGCUGAAUAAAAACAGUCAUCCUGACAUCCCUCAUUUGUUUUUUAAAACCUCUGUAUCAACCAUUUUAUGGGGAAAAAAACCCCCACACCACCACGUUUUAAUGAGUUCAGGCAUUUUUGAACAACUGAGCAUUUAAAUCUGUGAAUAAACUCAAGAAUGUCUCACUGCCUUUGAGAAGCAUACUUUAGUUUUAAGAAACCACAGCUGCAACAAUAAGGUGGAAACUUGACACACACUAGGUUGAAGGUGGCAAGGAUUAAAGGUAUGGAAUUAUAACAAAAAAAAACCAACACAACCUAGUGCUGUUGAACAGAAUAUGGGACAUAAAUCAAUGACUAACUUUGGCUAAGCUUUGCGUUAUGGAAGCACGCAGCAUUGCAGCUUCGCAGUUAUCAGUAUUUGUCAUCUUGAGUAUCAGUACACAUGCCAGAUGCAAAAGAGGGGCCCAGAGAGAACAUGGGGGAUGAGGAAAAGAAAAUUAAUAAUUUCAGUGACAAUGUACACUAUUUUGAUGUGAAACAGAACUUCUGUAAUAUUUCAAGGGACUUACACAUAUAUAUAUGUAUGUAUGUAUGUAUGUAUGGACAAAAGCUGUUGGAAUUAAGCCUUUGACUUCAAAAUGUGCCUGAUUAAACAGAAUACUGAUAAGAAUUAAGAUGAGAACAGCUGGAACUUUGAUUGCAGUUAUGUUUUCUUCUGGAUGUUUAUUUCUAGAUCACUUCUGCAGCUGCUUUUAUCUACUCCUUAGAAGUUCUUAUAGAUUUGAGGAACCAUUAGCUGUAAAAGUAAACAUCAGCUCUGGUCUGGUUUUAUAUAUCUUCUUGAAACCAUUGAGGGGGGAAAAGAUAACAUUAGACUAAUGACGAACUAGAUCAGACUUAAGUGAUGCUUUGAACAGCCUUUUAGCAUUUCAGGCUCCACCUGUAACUCUAACAAAAAGUUGGUUAUUUCUAAUAUUCUUUACCAAACACAGAGGAAUUAUCAAGCUCUGGGAAUAAAAAUGCUCUUUCUGAAAAACUUAAAUUCACGUCUCACUGUGGUUCAAAAGACAGAAUGCUUUUCAGUGUGCCUCCACUAUCUAGGUACAGGGAUGGUCCUUAAAACCAGUUCUGCUGCCUUUCAGUAUCUGUCAUCUAUAAAUAUUAUGCUUUGAAUAAAACAAAUCUGCUCUUGA